AGCUUGACUUGUGGGUAGAGUGGGAACAAAUCCCAUUUGGUUCGGUUGAUAGAUCUCAGGUCUCAUGAGUUGCUGUUGUUGGUUGUACAUCAUUGAAGCUUGAUUGGGAACAACAUCCAUAUGAUGCGGCUGAAGUUGGUUAAAAUUCUGCCCUGUUAGGUUUGGUUCUGAAAACUGACUGCUCCCAUAAUGGUGAUGUUGUUGAAACUGAGGAACAUAAGAGUCAUAAUGAUUUGAGUUAAUGAUUUCUUGUUCAUUGCUCAUCCUUCUCCUCUUUGUAGUUGUACUCUCACAAUCAUUAACUUCUUCUUCUUGUUCUUCAAAGAUGUCAAACUCGGUCGACCUUCCUGGAUCAUGAAAUCUCUUGAAAAGUUCCUCUUCAUCAAUAUAUUCUACAAAUUCAUCUCUGAUUAGCGGGAUAAGUGUACCGUGAGGAAGUUGGAUAUCUGAUUCCAGUCUCACAAUAUAUAAAGGUCUCCUUACAUAUCCAAAUCCAAAGUAGUAACCAACCACACGACAAAACGGAGCUCUUGUUUCAUUUAUAGUGAGGAAAUAUCUCAACUAUCUCUUAGUACUUAUUCUCCUAGAUUUGUUCUAACAAACAACUUAUCCUUUUGUUUAGUCUGGUUUAAUCCGGUUUGGUAAAGUACUUCGUUUGGUUAUUCAAGUACAAAUCCCCUAGACUAUAUUUGCGAAGUGAUUUUGCAACAUGUCCUUUCUACAAUCAAUUUCACAAAACAAAUAUGACAUGGCUAAUGAAAUUGAUGACAUGACUUCCGUAAAAAUAUGACAUGGAUAAUUUCAUUUAAUGUUGAUUUAUAUUUUUGGCAAACUUAUUAGAAUAUGGUAAUAAUUCAUAUAUUACAUUUAAUAUUGAUAUUUCUUUUUGGUAAAUUUUAUUUUAAAUAUGGUAAUAGCUCAUACAUCAUUUAUAAAAUAAAUAUAUUCAUAUAUAACAUUUCAAAUUUCGAAAUAUUAUUAUUUUUGUAUAAUUAUCCAAUUUGUAUUACUAAAACUUUCAAAAAUUCCUACAAUUUUUUAAAAUUUUAAAUAUCUAAUAGUAAAAUCAUUAGUUUUUUAUAUACCUACAAAUUUUAUAAAUAUUGUUUAGGGUAAAUUUUUGAUAAUUAUACAAUUUUAUAUUAUUUUUAUACAAAUUGAUUUAAUAUAUAUCAAAUCUAUAGUAAAUAUUAGUAAGAAAAUAGUAAAAUCUAUAAUAUUUAAUAAAAUUUAUUUUUAAAUAUAAGUUAGAUUAAAAAAAUUAUUUACUGCACAUGGUGCAGGAAAACACCUAGUGUUUGUUUAAACGUAGAAACACACACUUAGGGGGGUUAUUCAAACAAGAAUUUGUAUGAAAUUUAGUGGUUUUAAAAGUUGAUGGACUUUUAAAAGUUAAGUAAACUUAACAAAUAUUUUAUAUAGAUUUCCACUGAUUGUGAUUGAUCUUCAUAGAUUUGCAUACAUUUUUUUUUAAAUCCUUUAAAGGAAAUAUAUAAAAGUUCUUUUAGAAAACUUUCCAAUUUUUUAAAAGCUCUCUGUAAGUAGAGACAAUAGUAAGAGAUGAUGUACAACAAGUCCCUGAGAUAUCUUGGUCGCCAAAUCAUGUCACAAGAUCGAUCGAGAUCAACUCUUGAGAGAUAAUCUCUUGUAGCCGGCUAUCUAGGACCUCAUGUUGCUACGUACGAUUGGAAUCGAUGUUCCUUAGUAACACUAGUAGCGAUGAGUUGAGCCACCUCAGCCCUUCCUUUACCCACAUGAUCCAAUUUCCACUACGAAAAGACACAAGGAGAUGAUGAAUGUUUCGGAAAUGAUAAAUGAGUGUUGGGUACUUCUAUAUGUGGGAUGAAAGCUUGCCUAAGCUAUUCAGAUGAUGUUUCAAAUAUCAUUUUCUUCACCUGUAGGUGAAAAAAUAAUUCCACUGUCCAUGGCAACGCUAGGAGCUGCGCCUCGAAGAAUAAGUUGGUAGAAAGAAGGAUCGUCAGCCAUGAAAAACAGCUUUCCACCACUAUUGUUUACGCUAUUCUGCCAAGAUGAUGACAUUCAAACAUAGAGUGAAGGUGAUGAAACUCUUCAAAUUCGACCAAUAAAGCUGGCCAGUCGUCUUCUUCUUCGUUUUUGAUGAUCUUGACCAAUUGUUGACAAUCUGUCUCAAAGGUUAUAUCUAGUUGGUCCAGUCGGAUUAAGGAUUUCAUGGUCCACAGCAGAGUAUGAAGCUCAGCAUGUAGGGGGGUUAAGCUUCGGUUACUAGUGAAUGAACCGAAGGUCGUUACCCCAUCCUUGUCCGUCAGGACCAUACCUCCGCCAAAGAGAGCGUCGUCUUUAUGCCAAGAGGCGUCAAUCGACCAUAGGGGGCCGAGGUGUUGCGCUUCAGGCGGUGGUUGAGUCUCCUCAUCAUUUGGAGUUGUGUGUAAGAGUUUUGCUAGCGACUUAUAUCUCUAAAACCAAAAAAAAUCAAAACUGAAUCAGAACAAAACCGAAAAGGUAUCCGAAUUUAUAUAAUAUAGUUUAUAGUUUAUAUACUUGUAAAUAUUAACAGUCAUUGUUGCAUUUAAACUAAUUUAAUAAUUUUAAAAUACUACAUACAAAAAAAAAACAAAUUACCAUAAUACAUUAUAUCUACAAUAUUUAAAUUAUCUAAAUUAUUCAAAAUUUUAUCCGAAAACCCAAAAAAAAUUGAUAUUUAAUCCGAAGAUCAGAUUUUUUAACAUGAAUUAACAGAAAAUCAAAACCAAACCAAAACCGAAUGAGAUUCAAAAUUUUCUCGGAUAUUAGUCGGUUCUCAACUUUGUUAACCGAACCAAAUUUUUUUAAUACUAUAUUAGAUACUAAAUCUCUAGAAUUAAAAAAAAAAAAACAAAACUAAACCGGAACAGAAUGACAAAGCCAAAAUAUGUUACAGACACAAACACACAUACUAAAAAAAAUACUGUAUACAAGAGCACUAGGGACAAGGACAAAGUGGAUCCGAAUCUACAGUUCACAAACAUGUUUUCAAGGAACAAUGAUUACAAGUAGAGAAAGAUUCAAGAUUCACGAAAGACAAAACUCCCCUACAAAUCUGAAAUAAACACAUUGCAACGAGGUUAACAAAGUAAGCAUCUAUUAAGCCACAUUACCAAGCUUUCUAUACACAUUUCCUAAAAUCCUUUAUUAAUAAAAUAAUAAGUCCUAAAGCAGCAUAGUCUUUAUUCACAUAAGAGAUAACAAUACUAAAAUAUCAACCAAAACCAAUGCAAGAAAACGGCCCAACAGAAAUUUUGCUACAUAAUUUGGAAAAGUUCAACUAACUAGUUAUAAAAGUUGAUUAGACAGUCCUUCAGAGACUCUUUUGAGAUAGUGAAGAUAAUCAUGUCACUUAGGCUUCUGCUUAGUCUCGACCUCCCCUCCCAAGACCUCUGGCUCUACUGCGAUGACUUCCUCUGCCACGGUAAGAAGACUGUCCUGCAGCAUUGAACAUCCUCAUAGAACUCAUUUGGUUUUGCUGAUUAGUCACAGGUCCCAUGGAUUGCUGGUUGUACAUCACUGGAGCUGCUGCACUUUGAGAAGGUUGUUGGCGCAUACCAAAAGGCUGGUUGGGAUUGUUCUGACCUAAAAACAUUGUUGAUGCUUGUGCUCCAAGGUUUGGUUCUGUAAUCUGACUGCCAUACUGCUGGUUGUACAUCAUUGGAGCUUGAAAUGGAAAUGGAUUGGGAACAACUCCCAUAUUGUUCGGCUGAUUGAUCUCACGUCUCAUGAAAUGAUGCGGCGGAUUGUAUACCAUUGGAGCUGCUGCACUGAGAAAAGGUUGUUGGAACAUGCCAAAAGGCUGUCUGAGAUUGUGCUGACCUAGUUCUGUAAUCUGACUGCUCCUGAAACCAUGCUGCUGGUUGUACAUCAUCACUGGAGCUUGACUUGGGAGUAGAUUGGAAACAAAUCCCAUUUGGUUAGGCUGAUUGAUCUCAGGUCUCGUGAGUUGCUGCUGUUGGUUGUACAUCAUUAAAGCUUGACAUAGAAUUUGAAGUAGAUUGGGAACAAUGUCCACAUGAUGUGGCUGCAUACAAAGAAGUUGGUUAAAAUUGUCUUGGCAUUGUCCCUCAUAAUGAUUGCAAGUCCUCAAAAUCUUCUUGUUUGAGUUAAUGAUUUCUUCUUCACUACUCAUCCUUCUCCUCUUUGUUGUUGUACUCUGGCAGUCAUUAACUUCUUCUUCUUCUUCUUCAAAGAUGUCAAACGCAGCCCUUACUGGAUCAUUAAAUCUCUUGAACAGAUCCUCUUCAUCAAUAUAUUCUGCAAUUUUCUGGACGACUAGAGGGAUAAGUGUACCGCGAGGCGUUUUGAUGUCUGAUUCCAUUCUCACAACGUAGAAAGGUCUCCUUACAUAUCCAAAUCCAAAGUAGUAACCAACC
rnacentral:lncRNA from 1 species